GUGGUGGCUCAGUGGUAGAGCACUUGUCUUGCACGUAUGAGGCACUGGGUUCAAUUCUCAGCACCACA
rnacentral:tRNA from 1 species